AUGUGCGGAGUGGAUGUUAGAGUCAUUUUCUGUGUGUGUGUGUGUGUGUGUGUGUGUGUGUGUGUGUGUGUGUGUGUGUGUGUGUGUGUGUGUGUGUGUGUGUGUGUGUGUGUGUGUGUGUGUGUGUGUGUGUGUGUGUGUGUGUGUGUGUGUGCAGCUCCAUCAUGGGCUUCAUCAGUAAGGAGAGGGAGAAGGCUCUGCUCAGUGAUAAGUGUCCCGGGACCUUCCUGCUCAGGUUCAGUGAGAGCAGCAGAGAGGGAGCCUUCACCUUUACCUGGAUGGAAUACGACCUCUGCACCGUACACGAAGAAGGAGCUGUCAGCCGUCUCUCUGCUCGACAUCAUCCGUACCUACAAAGUGAUGGCUGCCGAGAACAUCCCCGAGAACCCGCUCUGCACACACAGAGACUCAGGAGCCCAUGGAUGUGGAGAACAAUCCAGAGAGGAGCAGCUACAUGAAGACAGAGCUCAUUUCUGUCUCUGAAGUACAUCCGUCCAGACUGCAGGACAACAUGUUGCCCAUGUCUCCUGAUGACUACAGGGCUUUGUCACAGUUAGUCGGCCCCAGAGACAUUGAUGCUGUGACACUUUGGAGAACGACAGGGAAAGGAAGAGAGAAACUGGAGGUAAACAUCAUUAAGCAGUGAAUUUAUCUAAACUUUCUGCGACACUUCCGGUCGAAGCUUCCGGUAAUCACGCCCAGGUGUGUUCAGGUGUUCUCAGGUGUGUAUAUCAUUGUUUCGACCAGGUAAGCGGUGCGGACCGCGGGCAGCCUGGCUGUCGAACAAAGCGGCGGAAGAAGAAGGAGCCGGGGAAGGAAAGAUGAAGUCUAGAUACUCAGAACUCUGUUGACGUCUUCCAGGAGGAUCCCCCGUCGGUGGCCGUCUUCCUGCUCAGGUAGGAGACUCAAUGCUUUCUUGAUGUUGUUUUAUUAUGUUCCAGGUUUUAGGUCUUAUAGAUGUUUAGACUCAGUUAUUUUAAUCAUUUCAUCCUUUUUGGAGGAUCAUCAGGUGUUUAAUGAAAUACUACAUUUUUAUAAUCCUUAUUUAAUUAAACACCUGAUGUUCCUCCACUACAAAAAGGAUGAAAUGAUUAAAAUAACUGAGUCUAAACAUCUAUAAGACCUAAAACCUGGAACAUAAUAAAACAACAUUAAGAAAGCAUUGAGCUCCUACCCAAUGGGGACGCCUGUGACGCCUUAUUGUAUUGUGCUGAUGUAUAGAAAAAACACAGUUCAUGUCUGUUCAAUAUUUUAUUGUAAUAAAACUAC